GAUAAACGCUUGCGGCGUGCCUAACACAUGCAAGUCGUACGCGCCUGCUCAGGCAGGCGAGUGGCGGACGGGUGAGUAACACGUGGGUUAUCUACCGAAAAGUGAGGAAUACCGGCGAGAAAUCGCCGACAAGACCGCAUAUGCUCGUUUCGGCGAGCAAAGUCGUAAGACGCUUUUUGAUGAGCCUGCGCCCGAUUGGCUCGUUGGUGGGGUAAAAGCCUACCAAGGCUGCGAUCGGUAGCUGGUCUGAGAGGACGAUCAGCCACACUGGGAUUGAGAACGGCACAGACUCCUACGGGGGGCAGCAGUGAGGAAUUUUCCGCAAUGGACGAAAGUCUGACGGAGCAACGCCGCGUGCAGGAUGACGGCCUUCGGGUUGUAAACUGCUUUUCUCUAGGACGAGUGAGGACGGUACUAGAGGAAUCAGCCUCGGCUAACUACGUGCCAGCCGCCGCCGUAACAC
rnacentral:rRNA from 1 species